CCGGACAAUGAGUGCAUGCCCGACUUUCUCCAGAUGAGCCAAGCUGUCUGGAACUGCUGUCUGGAAAGGCCUCUUCGCCAUCCCAGCCAGUGUACCCAACAAUCAGGAGGCAUUGCCCAACCCAGAGCUGCCGGGAUAAACAUUUACAAGAUCCGGAGGGAUUAUUAGCGAAGGGCAGAGGAUGUUUCUGUUUGAAUCUCCGACAGUCACUAAGUGAAGACCAGAAGUCUAUUGACUCGGCUUCAUGGGACUGGACUAUAGGCUGCUGGCCUCAGAGGGAACUGAGUAUUCAGCUACCUACACAGUCUCCAUCGGGAAUAUGGAAAAAGCACUUUCCUCUGUGCUGGACAGGUGAAACACUGAAGGAUGGAGACUACUGACUUUAAACUCCAGAACAGUGGUAAAGAAAAGCUGUUCUGCUAGAAUCUACCUCGUCUCAGGAAAGCGAACCCAUUCUGUCCUUUACCAGGAAGAGGACACUAGCUACAAUUUACCCUUUUACAGAGGGAGAUUAGAGACACAAAGAAGGAUCCCCUUGAAGCGUGACAGCUGCAAUGACUUCCAGAUGUUCACCUCCUCUCUUCUAGCAGACAAGGGUGGAUGUGGUAAACUCCACGAUGGAAACCAAAAACCCAGCCAGAUGUACCAUGUCAGUGUCAGCAACACACACAUCUGGCUUCAAUACCGGCAGCGAUAACCAGAACAAAUGGCUGUUAUUCCCGCUGUAUUCAACUUGUCAGCAUUCCCCGUUAAAAGGCGGUGGGGGCGGGGACAUACAGGGCUUGGGGAGCGACGUGGCAAGGCCGGGCCUGGGCGGGGUGCGGGCCGCAGGCCGGGCUGAGCUCCGCGCCUCCGGGCAGCCGGGACAAGUGUGAGCCUUGCUGGCCUUGGAUGAGGAGCCCCGGCGUCCACCGGAAGACGAGGGCCACGGCAGCGUAGCUU